CCUUCUUUAGGGGCGGCAGCUGGUUGUCUUGCACGAGGCCGAAGACGUCCAGCAGGCGCAGGGAGGGCAGCGUUUGACCCAGAUCCCUGCAGGAAUGGAACAUGACGUUGAGUCUGCAGAAGGGAACACCCUAAACGCUGAUGGACCCGACGGUACCUUAAAUCCAGGUGUUGAACUUCAGGACAUCUGUCGACCAGGAUCUUUACAUCUGUAACACCAGCACAUCGUUCCAUCAGUGACAGAAAAAUGAUCACUCGCACAAACUAUUCACUUGGCAGUGAAGGAAAAUAAAUAAAAAUGAUAAAAAACUCCUCUGCCUUCACUGUCAUCCAACACUUCCCUUUCCCCAUGUACACUAAGAUUAGAGUUUAAAUGUCAAUUAAAUAAAUAAAAUAGAACUAUGCUAACAGCUGCUUUAAUUCGUGGAAUCUGACUUGAUUAAAAAGGUAAAAACUAACUAUAACAGCUUGAGCCGUCCCAUUUUUGAUUCUCAGAUUGACCCCAUCCUUAUAUUGUGUGGUGGAAAUUUCUUCAUUCAGUCUGCUUUUGUCUGAGUUGUUUUAUUCUUCAGCUGAAGGAUAAUUAGA